rnacentral:ncRNA from 1 species
GAGGACUGAAGUGGAGAAGGGUUUCGUGUGAACAGUGGUUGAUCACGAGUUAGUCGGUCCUAAGUUCAAGGCGAAAGCCGAAAAUUUUCAAGUUUUAAAAAUGUCAAAUGAAAUAAUAAAUAAUAAAACACUUGAAUAAUUUUGAACGAAAGGGAAUACGGUUCCAAUUCCGUAACCUGUUGAGUAUCCGUUUGUUUUUAAAUAUGGGCCUCGUGCUCAUCCUGGCAACAGGAACGACCAUAAAGAAGCCGUCGAGAGGUAUCGGAAGAGUUUUCUUUUCUGUUUUAUAGCCGUACUACCAUGGAAGUCUUUCGCAGAGAGAUAUGGUAGAUGGGCUAGAAGAGCAUGACAUAUACUGUUGUGUCGAUAUUUUCUCCUCGGACCUUGAAAAUUUAUGGUGGGGAUACGCAAACUUCUCAACAGGCCGUACCAAUAUCCGCAGCUGGUCUCCAAGGUGAAGAGUCUCUAGUCGAUAGAAUAAUGUAGGUAAGGGAAGUCGGCAAAUUAGAUCCGUAACUUCGGGAUAAGGAUUGGCUCUGAAGAUUGAGAUAGUCGGGCUUGAUUGGGAAACAAUAACAUGGUUUAUGUGCUCGUUCUGGGUAAAUAGAGUUUCUAUCAUUUAUGAUAGUUAUUUGUUCCCCGGAUAGUUAGUUACGUAGCCAAUUGUGGAACUUUCUUGCUAAAAUUUUUAAGAAUACUAAUUUUUAAUUAGUUCUUUUAAAUUAUAACGAUUAUCAAUUAACAAUCAAUUCAGAACUGGCACGGACUUGGGGAAUCCGACUGUCUAAUUAAAACAAAGCAUUGUGAUGGCCCUAGCGGGUGUUGACACAAUGUGAUUUCUGCCCAGUGCUCUGAAUGUCAAAGUGAAGAAAUUCAAGUAAGCGCGGGUCAACGGCGGGAGUAACUAUGACUCUCUUAAGGAAAGCUAACAGGAAAGGAAUAUUUGCACGGUGUCAAAUUGCGGAUAAAUGCCCUACCCUCGAAGUCUCGUACGACGAGGGGAAGGCACGAAUUGGAGAGACGGU